rnacentral:rRNA from 1 species
AUUGAACGCUGGCGGCAUGCUUUACACAUGCAAGUCGAACGGCAGCGCGGGGCAACCUGGCGGCGAGUGGCGAACGGGUGAGUAAUAUAUCGGAACGUACCCAAGAGUGGGGGAUAACGUAGCGAAAGUUACGCUAAUACCGCAUACGAUCCAAGGAUGAAAGCAGGGGAUCUUCGGACCUUGUGCUCCUGGAGCGGCCGAUAUCUGAUUAGCUAGUUGGUGAGGUAAAGGCUCACCAAGGCCACGAUCAGUAGCUGGUCUGAGAGGACGACCAGCCACACUGGAACUGAGACACGGUCCAG